AGUGGGUAWKCUCGACUGAUCCGAGGUCAGGUCAGGUCAGGUCAGGUCAGGUCAGGUCUGGUCAGAUUGACCCAGGUCAUGCCAGGUUAGAUUGUGCCGCCAUGCACACACACACACACUCACUCACUCACUCACUGGACUAGUGUGCGAACCAAUUCGUCACCCACCUAGCUGAUGAGCGCAGAGCAGUGGAGUGCAGUGCAUAAAGCGAGCAGAGAGUAGAAAACAGUACCGUCACUACCACCACCACCACCACCACAGAGAUUCACCUCGCGUGCAUCAUGCGCCCAAACUACACGCACAUUGGGCCACGGCUUGUGAACCUGUGGCUACACCAGCACUCACGCACACACGCUGACCAACUGGCUUGAUGGCCGGAUGGCUGGCUGGCUGGCUGGCUGGCUGGCCCCAUCAUCAGCAGCAUCAACAACGCACCAAUCAGUAGCGAUGGAGACGCACAGCACAGCACCACGACGAUGACAGCACGGGCACGCCACUCCCCCACUCGCGAACACAUGCCUUAGAAGGAAGCCACACCAACAGCAUGGCAAUCCUCCAAGCCACCGCUUAUUACGCACAGUGAUAGUUUAUAAGCCGACGCUCGGACAGAC
rnacentral:rRNA from 1 species